rnacentral:misc_RNA from 1 species
AUGCUAUUAAGACAUUUAAUGGGAAAACAAUGAAUAAACGAACUAUUGCGGUUGAUUGGGCCGUUUCCAAAAAGGUUUAUGCAUCUGGUGGUCAAUCUUCUGCAACUGCAAUAGAUGAACAGAGCGCAAAAGAUGAUAGUGGUAGUGAUACGGAGGAUGAAGACAUUGACAUUGAUGGAAAAUCUCAGCAAGCUGAAGGGGACGAAGAUGACUCUGACCUUUUAGAAGAAGAUAAUCAGACCGAAUUUAACUUUGAUGAGGAAGCAGACAUUGCAAAAAAAAUUCUUCAGAACUUUAUUUCUCCAACUUCAAUAGUGACAGCUACUCCCGCAGAUGAUAUUUCAAGCCCCCAAAAGAAGGGAAAGGAUGUUGAAACUAUUAUCCCCCUGGAUGAACCACUUGAUGCAUCUACUCCGAAUAAAGCACUAAAUGAUGUUUCGGGCAAGGACAAAGAAGUUAAAGAUAUGCAGAGUGACGGAGCAGAUGAUCUGCAGGGGACAGUUUUCAUUAGCAACCUUCCUUUUGAUGUUGAUUAUGGAGAAGUCAAACAACGGUUUUCAGCUUUUGGUGAAGUGGAGUACUUUGCUCCAGUUCUUGAACAAGUCACCAAACGACCAAGGGGUACUGGAUUUCUCAAAUUUAAAACAGCAGCAUCUGCUGAAGCUGCUAUUUCCGCUGCCAGUGUUGUGGAUGGUUUAGGUGUCUUUCUGAAGGGUCGGCAGUUAAAAAUUUUAAAGGCCUUGGACAAAAAAG